rnacentral:tRNA from 2 species
GGUCCCGUAGCUCAACCGGAUAGAGCAACUGCCUUCUAAGCAGUAGGUUGCAGGUUCGAGUCCUGCCGGGAUCGCCA